AUUGAACGCUGGCGGCAGGCCUAACACAUGCAAGUCGAACGAGUGGCGGACGGGUGAGUAAUGUCUGGGAAACUGCCUGAUGGCGGGGGAUAACUACUGGAAACGGUAGCUAAUACCGCAUACCAUCGGAUGUGCCCAGAUGGGAUUAGCUAGUAGGUGGGGUAAAGGCUCACCUAGGCGACGGUCCCUAGCUGGUCUGAGAGGAUGACCAGCCACACUGUAACUGGGACACGGUCCAUACUACUACUGGAGGCAGCAGUGCGGAAUAUUGCACAAUGGGCGCAAGCCUGAUGCAUCCAUGCCGCGUGUAUGAAGGAGGCCUUCGGGUUGUAAAGUACUUUCAGCGGGCAGGCGUUACCCGCAGAAGAAGCACCGGCUAACUCCGUGCCAGCAGCCGCGGAAAAC
rnacentral:rRNA from 1 species